rnacentral:rRNA from 1 species
UACGUAGGGUGCAAGCGUUGUCCGGAAUUAUUGGGCGUAAAGAGCUCGUAGGCGGUUUGUCGCGUCUGCUGUGAAAACCCGAGGCUCAACCUCGGGCCUGCAGUGGGUACGGGCAGACUAGAGUGCGGUAGGGGAGACUGGAAUUCCUGGUGUAGCGGUGAAAUGCGCAGAUAUCAGGAGGAACACCGGUGGGCGAAGGCGGGGUCUCUGGGCCGUAACUGACGCUGGAGGAG